ensembl:lncRNA
AUUAAAACCCUCGCGGCCUGGAUUACAGUGAAAUGAGAGGAUGGUGUAUGACUCGGCGAUAUUGUGGUCUCUGUGUAAUGCUGCUAAAUGUCGGGUGUACCGACAAACUGUGUACACUCUGAGCUCAGAAACGGAGGAUACUGUCUUUAGGCCCGUCUACCUUUGUUACAAUAACUCGAGUUCAGCUUCGUGUGUGACCAAGAAAUGAUAUCAGUGUUAGCAUUUUAGGCGUUGGCUCGAUGUUCUGCAGGAAGUUGUGGUAUAACACAUUUUUUCAUGUAUUUAUUUUCGGAUUUCGCUGUCAUCCAUCUAUGCAUCGUUUCAUUGUGGUCAUGGAGGUAGCAGAUCCCACAGAUGCCCUGACCUCCCUCUAUCCAGCUUCUUCAUCUAGCUCUUCUGGGAGCACCUGAAGGCAUUCCCAAGCCAGCUGAAAGAUUUAAUCUCUCCAGUGUGUCCUGAGUGUGCUCCAGGGUCUUUGUUGGAUGUGGUUGGUCUGAAACACCUCACCCAGGAGGCAUUCAGAUGUCUGAUCUACCUCGUUGGCUGCGUUCUCCCUCUGUAAAUGGGCACAGCAGUGAUGGUGGAGGGGGUUUUGAGCCCUGUGAUUCUUCUGCUGUUCUGUCAGGUUGUUGUAAAAGCUCCAUGAAGGGUCUUUAGUUGAUCCAAGUCAAGUUAGCUUUAUUUGUAAAGCAUGUUUAAAAGACAUGUGGUCAAACUUGCAAACUUAGGGGAUCGGCUGUCCACUCCCCUCCCUGGACUUUAUUCCCAGCUCAAGAUGUCUCUCCAGAGCCAGAGCAAUUAUAUAGGACCACCUCCAUCCUAACCACCACCUCUUCAACAUCCUGCCCCUGGACAAAGGUUCAGAUGCAUCAGGUGCAAAACCAACAGAUUAAAGAACAGCUUCUUCCCGUGGGCUGUCAGAACUCUUAAUGCAAACUAAGAGUGUGUAAAGACUUCCCCAACACAUCCACUCUGACACUGCUGUUGAUCAUCUAUGUGCAACAUCUCAGUCUUUUCAUGUUCUG